GAAAUAUGAUUGGGAACAGGUGUCGAAAGACUCAAUCGGGAAUCCGGUCAAAGCCGGAGUGGUCCCGCCACUGUAAGGGGAGCGUUGCGCAGCAUGCCACUGGGAGCAAUCUUGGGAAGGCGCGUGACGUGAGGAACCUAAGCCAGGAGAACGGCCUGUUCUUGCAUCACCGU
rnacentral:ncRNA from 2 species